AUGGCUGAGUGGUUGAUAGCUCCGGUCUUGAAAACCGGUAUAGUUCUAGGAACUAUCGAGGGUUCGAAUCCCUCUCUCUCCU
rnacentral:tRNA from 1 species